rnacentral:lncRNA from 1 species
AAUGCUGCACAAUCAAAAAUGUUUGGAGACCACUGGACUUAUCUAAUGCCUUUCUUUUACAGGGGAAGAAACUAAGGUGAGGUCUUUUCUUACCUGAUCUUGGACAUAUCCUGCCAUAUCCUAGCCUACUCUAAACCAUGGUGCCUGUAUCCUGACUUCCUCCUCGCCCUUCCUCCACUGGAAUUCAGAAUCCAUCCUCUACAUAUAUUGGGCUAUGAUUGCUUCACAACAAGUUGGUACCAUCCCAUUGGGAGAGGAAGAGCUGGGGGCUGGCUAUAAGGCUGCUUACUCCCCGGGAACCAUGAGCAUGAAGCUUACUCAGCAUUUCUGCGUCAUCAGGGCAUUCACAAACUGCCAGGGUGAGCAUGGAACUCCUCAGUGAAUGGCUCUCAGUGCCACCUGGUGGGUAAAGAAAGCUGUCAGACUCUUUGAGGUCUUUUCCUUUAGAGUUGCUCCAUAAUACCUAGUUCAACAUCCUACAUAUACAAACUCAGCCCAAUAUUAUUAAUUGGUUGUGAUCAACACCAGAUAUGAUUACCAUGGUAUACUUUACUUCAAAUUCCUCUUUGGAAACUGAUUCCAUAGAGUACAAAUAGCAAGUCCUGACAAUCUGUUACCAUUAUACCAAUGGUUUCCUGUAAGGUUUUACCAUCUUUUUGUCAAUUAGAUAUUUAACUCUGUCACAAUCUGAUGCAGUUGUUUGGGGGGUCUAAAAUGGGUGAUGCAGAAGAAUUAG